UGUCUGUGUGUGUGUGUGUGUGUGUGUGUGUGUGCACGCAUGUGUCUGUGUGUGUGUAUAUGUGUUGCAAUGCCAUAGACAAGCUGCAGCUUGCCACUGAGUGUGAACAGUAGUAGCAAGAGAGCGAGAAGGAAAGGAGAGAGACGACCCAGACGCCUCUCGUCUCUCUCACACCUCCCUUCGAGCAUAAUAAUAACGAGACACCGCAGCACAAGAACGAAAGAGAGGCAGAGGGAGAGGAAGAGGCAGCGAGAUAAAAGGCAAGCAGUAGAGGACUGAUAUCCAGGAUACUUCUUCCUCAAUCGGCUCUCGGCUCUCGGCUCUGAAGCAGACGCUGAGGAAACACCAACAAGACGCUGAGGAAAUGCUGGGAAAACACUGAGCAAAAGAGCGAGAACAUACUGACAAAUAUCUGAGGACAAACCGAGGAAACGUGGAGAAGAUACUGAGAAAGACUGACAGCGCACUGAGAAAAUUUGGAGCUAACACCAGGAAACCAAGAAGAUGCUCAGAACACGCUGUGAACAUUCUGAGGAAACACCAAGGAAACAAUGAGAUGUUGAGAUGAUGCUAUGAAGAUACAGAGGAAACAGUUUUGAGAACUAAGAACCAAAGAGUCUGAGGAAAGCCUGAGGAACCACGGAGGAGCCGUUAGCGCGGCCUGAUCUGUAGCCCAGGUGGUCUCCUACGGGGUGGGCAGAAAUGCAGUCUGGGCCAGCCUUCAGCCUUCAGAGAGCUCUAGCACAGCCUGUGAGGAUGUGCAUGUUGGACUUCCAUCUCUCCAUCCUCGAUCAUCUGCUUUCAUUCUUUUCAGGAGACCUGCUUUCAGUUUUUCGAAGAAAUCUGCAUGUAACAUAGAGCGAGGAGGCGGACGCACGUGCGGAGACAGUCCAGGGUCAUAGAGCCAACGCGAACAGAACGUGGCGCCGACAUGAUAAACAAACACAGAACCUCAAACAAGAAACAAAACAACACGAGAAUACAACACAUACAUCCAACAAACAUCAAACAUCCCAAACAAAGACAAACACAGGGCUUAAAUACAGCAGGGAUGAUGAGGGACAGGUGGAAACAAUCAGGGGCGGAGUCACGAAACAAGGGGCCGGACUAGACGGAAAAACAAAUGCAAGUGGACGAUGAAAAAGUAAGCAGAAAAAGCACAUGGAGUAGUGGGAGGAGCCAACCGGGACACUACAGAGAUACUUUUUCCACACCUCCAGAGUUCAGUCUCAGAAGUUGGUUGCACUUUCUGUUUCUCACGGUCCAGGUUACCCCAGAUGUUCGAUGCUGGUGGUCAGUAUGUUGUUCUGAAAACACCGGCGGCUUCUUGGUUUGGUCUUGCUUUUGUAUUUCCCCUUUUCAAAAGUGAUUAACUUGUACUUUGAUCGGAAAUUAAACAAACGAAGGGUGGUC